rnacentral:rRNA from 1 species
GUGGCUGGAAUAAGUAGUGUAGCGGUGAAAUGCAUAGAUAUUACUUAGAACACCAAUUGCGAAGGCAGGUCACUAUGUCUUAACUGACGCUGAUGGACGAAAGCGUGGGGAGCGAACAGGAUUAGAUACCCUGGUAGUCCACGCCGUAAACGAUGCUAACUCGUUUUUGGGUUUUCGGAUUCAGAGACUAAGCGAAAGUGAUAAGUUAGCCACCUGGGGAGUACGUUCGCAAGAAUGAAACUCAAAGGAAUUGACGGGGGCCCGCACAAGCGGUGGAUUAUGUGGUUUAAUUCGAUGAUACGCGAGGAACCUUACCAAGGCUUAAAUGGGAAUUGAUGGGUUUAGAAAUAGACCGUCCUUCGGGCAAUUUUCAAGGUGCUGCAUGGUUGUCGUCAGCUCGUGCCGUGAGGUGUUAGGUUAAGUCCUGCAACGAGCGCAACCCCUGUUACUAGUUGCUACCAUUAAGUUGAGGACUCUAGUAAGACUGCCUACGCAAGUAGAGAGGAAGGUGGGGAUGACGUCAAAUCAUCACGGCCCUUACGCCUUGGGCCACACACGUAAUACAAUGGCCGGUACAGAGGGCAGCUACCUAGCGAUAGGAUGCGAAUCUCGAAAGCCGGUCUCAGUUCGGAUUGGAGUCUGCAACUCGACUCUAUGAAGCUGGAAUCGCUAGUAAUCGCGCAUCAGCCAUGGCGCGGUGAAUACGUUCCCGGGCCUUGUACACACCGCCCGUCAAGCCAUGGAAGUCUGGGGUACCUGAAGU